UAUAUGUUAACAUUAAGGGUGUAGGGUCGAAUCGCAUGAGCUGUAUGUUUGGUAUCCCCACUGUCCUGGAUUUAGACAAGUAUUUAAGAUUCCACUGGGCGUGUUUGGUUCUAAACAAAGAAUUAUAAGGGAUUGUAAAGCAGAAAACACUAUGGAGAGCCUGGAUUACGUCCCUUGGGUUGACGAGGGAAGACAACUCUGUGUGUUCGAGAACUACAACUUGUAUCUCAAGAAGUGCGCUCGCCGUUACGGCAAAACAGCUGUGACGUCAUGGCCGAGAGAGAACCCCAACCUUAGCCCAAAGUCCUUCAAUAUUCCUGGGGCCAACUUCGGAGGCUGAAAUAUGACGGAAGCACACAGUUUCUGUAAACCUGGACGAAUAAAACAGAAUUCUCUU